rnacentral:rRNA from 1 species
AAAUUGAAGAGUUUGAUCAUGGCUCAGAUUGAACGCUGGCGGCAGGCCUAACACAUGCAAGUCGAACGGUAACAGGAAACAGCUUGCUGUUUCGCUGACGAGUGGCGGACGGGUGAGUAAUGUCUGGGAAACUGCCUGAUGGAGGGGGAUAACUACUGGAAACGGUAGCUAAUACCGCAUAACGUCGCAAGACCAAAGAGGGGGGACCUUCGGGCCUCUUGCCAUCGGAUGUGCCCAGAUGGGAUUAGCUAGUAGGUGGGGUAACGGCUCACCUAGGCGACGAUCCCUAGCUGGUCUGAGAGGAUGACCAGCCACACUGGAACUGAGACACGGUCCAGACUCCUACGGGAGGCAGCAGUGGGGAAUAUUGCACAAUGGGCGCAAGCCUGAUGCAGCCAUGCCGCGUGUAUGAAGAAGGCCUUCGGGUUGUAAAGUACUUUCAGCGGGGAGGAAGGGAGUAAAGUUAAUACCUUUGCUCAUUGACGUUACCCGCAGAAGAAGCACCGGCUAACUCCGUGCCAGCAGCCGCGGUAAUACGGAGGGUGCAAGCGUUAAUCGGAAUUACUGGGCGUAAAGCGCACGCAGGCGGUUUGUUAAGUCAGAUGUGAAAUCCCCGGGCUCAACCUGGGAACUGCAUCUGAUACUGGCAAGCUUGAGUCUCGUAGAGGGGGGUAGAAUUCCAGGUGUAGCGGUGAAAUGCGUAGAGAUCUGGAGGAAUACCGGUGGCGAAGGCGGCCCCCUGGACGAAGACUGACGCUCAGGUGCGAAAGCGUGGGGAGCAAACAGGAUUAGAUACCCUGGUAGUCCACGCCGUAAACGAUGUCGACUUGGAGGUUGUGCCCUUGAGGCGUGGCUUCCGGAGCUAACGCGUUAAGUCGACCGCCUGGGGAGUACGGCCGCAAGGUUAAAACUCAAAUGAAUUGACGGGGGCCCGCACAAGCGGUGGAGCAUGUGGUUUAAUUCGAUGCAACGCGAAGAACCUUACCUGGUCUUGACAUCCACGGAAGUUUUCAGAGAUGAGAAUGUGCCUUCGGGAACCGUGAGACAGGUGCUGCAUGGCUGUCGUCAGCUCGUGUUGUGAAAUGUUGGGUUAAGUCCCGCAACGAGCGCAACCCUUAUCCUUUGUUGCCAGCGGUCCGGCCGGGAACUCAAAGGAGACUGCCAGUGAUAAACUGGAGGAAGGUGGGGAUGACGUCAAGUCAUCAUGGCCCUUACGACCAGGGCUACACACGUGCUACAAUGGCGCAUACAAAGAGAAGCGACCUCGCGAGAGCAAGCGGACCUCAUAAAGUGCGUCGUAGUCCGGAUUGGAGUCUGCAACUCGACUCCAUGAAGUCGGAAUCGCUAGUAAUCGUGGAUCAGAAUGCCACGGUGAAUACGUUCCCGGGCCUUGUACACACCGCCCGUCACACCAUGGGAGUGGGUUGCAAAAGAAGUAGGUAGCUUAACCUUCGGGAGGGCGCUUACCACUUUGUGAUUCAUGACUGGGGUGAAGUCGUAACAAGGUAACCGUAGGGGAACCUGCGGUUGGAUCACCUCCUUA